rnacentral:lncRNA from 1 species
GGGCAGGGGAGGGUUCCCAGUUGCUGGAGGUGGUGGAUCUAGUGGUGGAGUCAGGAAACCAGGGUGGGGAGUGUCAGAGGAAAGGGCACGAAGGGGCUGAGAGAGGGAGGAAGAGAUGGACUGAGAGAGGGAGUCACGGGAGGAGGGAGAGAGGGAGAGAGAGAGAGAGAGAGAGAGAGACAGAGAGAGAUGGAGAGAGAGAAAGACAGAGAGACACACAGACAGAGAGAGACAGAGACAGGGUGACGGGGGGGAGAGAGAGAGAGAGAUGGAGAGAGAGACAGAGAGAGAGCCAGACAGAGAGACACAGAGAGAGAGAGAGAAAGAGAGAGACAGAGACAGAGUGACAGAGAGGGGGAGAGCAAGAGACAGAGAGAGACUGGGAAAAUGAAUGAGAAGAUAUGACAGUGGAGAGAGAGGAGUCCAGGAAUACGAGCACAGAGGCAGGUGUGCUCAUGAGAGAAGGAACUGAGGAGAGAGCUGGAGAAACCGGUGGAAGUUGGAUGUGACAGGGAACAGAAGAGGCAGACGGUGGGAAAAAAACAAGACAGAGGAAGAGGGAGACACAGAGACGCAGGGAGAGAGGGGUGUGGAGAAGUGGAGAUAGAAAAGCAAAAGACGGAGGGAAGAAGGUGGAGAUAGAAUGGAAACAGACACACAGAAAGAGAAAACAGUGCCUUUCUGUGAUUCCUGAACUGUUUCUGUUUAACUAUGGGCCUCCCUGCUUUGAGCUGAAGGGAGACAGCUGGAGAUGCAGCUGAUGAGGCCCAGUUCACCGCCGGUGGCUCCCAAGGACUUGCCGUCCCCAGCCCGGACCUCAGCACCUGCCGUGCCGUGGCCAGGUUGCUGGGCCCUCUUCCCACCACAUGCUAGGUUCCCAGGGUAUCUCGCUCACCACUCCACCACCUGCUUGGCACGGUCUUGUUUGCUGUGCCACGGGCAUCGAUAAACAUCUGAUGAAUGAAUGAACACAGAGCCUCAGUCGCUGCUCCUCUGUGAACUCACGGUCUGGUGAAACAGGCCAGCGGGGCAACAGGAAACUCCAUCUGGUGUCACGUGUGCUCCCCUGGAGGAGGCUGAGGGGCUGGAUGGAGCCUCAGGUGUGGGAAAGGGUUCCAGGAGGAGGGGCAGUCUUAGCAGGUUCCUGCAGAUGAAUAGGAGUUUGCCAGGGAGGAUGGACAGUGUGUGGAGAGGGUAGGAGGGAGGUGAGUGGUUUCGAGUAGGGAUGGUGGGGCAGGAGGAUGGUGAGAGAGCUCAGAGCGUAGGAGAGAGGAGUGGCCAAGAUGAGCAGGGCCCUGGUGCUGCAGGGGCGAGAAUUUUACUCCGAGGGUGAUGGGGGAUGGUGGCAUGAUCCUGAGUAGGGGAGAGCAGAAUCCUUCGGGAUACUCAGGUCUGGAGCUCAGGAGAGUGAUGGGGCAUCACGGCACGGAUGGUGCUGGAUACCAGCGGUGUGGAGCCCACCUAGGGAGAGGGUAUACAGUGAGAGGACCCCACUGAAGACUCACAGCUCAGGGGGUAAGAAACAGUUAUGCCAGGGGUAGGAGUGAUUGAAGAGCUAAGAGGGACACCAGGAGGGAGCAGUGUCAGGAAAGUUGAGAGCUUUUUUUUUUCUUUUUAAACAGGGUGUCACUCUGUUGCCCAGGCUGGAGUGCAGUGGUGCAAUCACAGCUCACUGCAGCCUUGAACUCCUGGGCUCAACCAUCCUCCCACCUCAGCCUCCUGAGUAGCUGGGACUACAGGCACGUGCUACCACAGUCAGUUAAUUUUUGUAUUUUUUUGUAGAGACAGGGUCUCACGAUGUAGCCCAGGUUGGUCUCCAACUCCAGGGCUGAAGUGAUUUGCCUGCCUUGGCCUCCCCAAGUGCUGGGAUUACAGGUGUGAGCCACUGCGCCCAGCCAGAGAGCAUUUUUUAAACGAGGGAGUGGCAGGGGCGGUCAGAUGCCUCUGGAAGGAAGAUAGGUGAUGGGUGAUUUUGGAGAGAAAGGUUUUUUGUGGUGUGGUAGGGGUGGAAGCUGGGCGGAGCAGAGGAGACCAUAGGUGCGGACAGCUCUUGGGUGUGAGGGGAGGAGAAGGGUGGUUGAUACUGAUGGCUGUUUAUAAGAAAGGAAAACCUGGAUGGCACUUGGAACAAAAACAAUCACUCACAUGUAUUCUGUGCUCAGCACAGCCAGGGACUGUGAUGAAACCUUGGUUGUUUUUUUUUUUUUUUGAGAUGAGUCUCAGUCUGUCACCCAGGCUGGAGUGCAGUGGCAGGAUCUCGGCUCACUGCAACUUCCGCCUCCCAGGUUAAAGCAAUUCUGUUGCCUCAGCCUUUUGAGUAGCUGGGACUAUGGGUGCCCACCACCAUGCCUGGCUAAUUUUUGCAUUUUUAGCAGAGACGGGGUUUCGCCAUGUUGGCCAGGCUGCUCUCAAACUCCUGACCUCAGGUGAUCCACCCGCCUC